UUUGAAGAGAAGGCGUACUAUUUUGGGGAGGAAGUUGCUAUUUUGCCGCAGAAAGAUCCUGUUUUUUGUAGGCUAUGGUAUUUUUUGGAGAAAGUAUAACAUUUCUGGGGAGAAGAGUUAUUUCUCUCGCCAAAUACUACUCUCUCCCAGAGAUACGGAAGUUUCUGCACAAGAUGUUGUUUUCUCCAGGGAAUACAUUUCCUCCCGCAUAAUACCACUCUUGUUCCGAAAAUGCAGAACUUUCUCUUGAAAAAUACCGCUUUUCUCCCGAAAAGAUUUCAUUGUCUCCAAAAAAUACCAGCUUUCUUUGAAAGGUAUGACAUUUUCUCCACCAAGUAACAAUUUCUGCCCUAAAAUAUGGCGUUGUUUUUCCCCCAGAAUACCACUUUGCACCCUAAAAGAUGGCAUUUUACUCUUCGUCUUGUGUUCACACAGAGAUCACAACUGCUAGCGCUACUCAACGUGCCAGUCACCUCUUUGACGGAGAGUCUUCGUUCCUUCUCUCCUCCGUAACAGAAAGUCAGAGUGCAGCAAUGGAGAAAGAGAGAGAAACGAACUCUCUCCAAAUUAAGCGCCAGUGGCUCUGAAUGGUGGCUCCAGGAGAUGUGCUUUCGGCGAGAACGCAAGGUGAUGGCAAAAUCGCUCCUUUCCGCGCUGCGGAGAAAAGCCCCCUGUUCGGAGGAAAGCAGCCGGCUGAAGUCGCUCUCUGCCGGCUACCGAAUUGCCCGAAUGCGCGGCUGUCGGCAGCAAGCGGCAUUCGGGGACGCGACCGAACGCUUUGCCUAGCUGUUCUCCGCGACUGAGGAUUUCUGCCGAUAAGAGCGGACUCGGGCAGUUCCGUAGUUUCCUUUUGCAAGAGAAAAUUUUUCGUCUUUAGGAAAAAAGUAAUACUGUCGGGGAAAACAAUGUUGUCUUCCCGAGAAGACCGUAUUUUGGGAGAUCACAACUGCUAGCGCUACUCAACGUGCCAGUCACCUCUUUGACGGAGAGUCUUCGUUCCUUCUCUCCUCCGUAACAGAAAGUCAGAGUGCAGCAAUGGAGAAAGAGAGAGAAACGAACUCUCUCCAAAUUAAGCGCCAGUGGCUCUGAAUGGUGGCUCCAGGAGAUGUGCUUUCGGCGAGAACGCAAGGUGAUGGCAAAAUCGCUCCUUUCCGCGCUGCGGAGAAAAGCCCCCUGUUCGGAGGAAAGCAGCCGGCUGAAGUCGCUCUCUGCCGGCUACCGAAUUGCCCGAAUGCGCGGCUGUCGGCAGCAAGCGGCAUUCGGGGACGCGACCGAACGCUUUGCCUAGCUGUUCUCCGCGACUGAGGAUUUCUGCCGAUAAGAGCGGACUCGGGCAGUUCCGUAGUUUCCUUUUGCAAGAGAAAAUUUUUCGUCUUUAGGAAAAAAGUAAUACUGUCGGGGAAAACAAUGUUGUCUUCCCGAGAAGACCGUAUUUUGGGAGAUCACAACUGCUAGCGCUACUCAACGUGCCAGUCACCUCUUUGACGGAGAGUCUUCGUUCCUUCUCUCCUCCGUAACAGAAAGUCAGAGUGCAGCAAUGGAGAAAGAGAGAGAAACGAACUCUCUCCAAAUUAAGCGCCAGUGGCUCUGAAUGGUGGCUCCAGGAGAUGUGCUUUCGGCGAGAACGCAAGGUGAUGGCAAAAUCGCUCCUUUCCGCGCUGCGGAGAAAAGCCCCCUGUUCGGAGGAAAGCAGCCGGCUGAAGUCGCUCUCUGCCGGCUACCGAACUGCCCGAAUGCGCGGCUGUCGGCAGCAAGCGGCAUUCGGGGACGCGACCGAACGCUUUGCCUAGCUGUUCUCCGCGACUGAGGAUUUCUGCCGAUAAGAGCGGACUCGGGCAGUUCCGUAGUUUCCUUUUGCAAGAGAAAAUUUUUCGUCUUUAGGAAAAAAGUAAUACUGUCGGGGAAAACAAUGUUGUCUUCCCGAGAAGACCGUAUUUUGGGAGAUCACAACUGCUAGCGCUACUCAACGUGCCAGUCACCUCUUUGACGGAGAGUCUUCGUUCCUUCUCUCCUCCGUAACAGAAAGUCAGAGUGCAGCAAUGGAGAAAGAGAGAGAAACGAACUCUCUCCAAAUUAAGCGCCAGUGGCUCUGAAUGGUGGCUCCA